rnacentral:rRNA from 1 species
GGUUAAGCGACUAAGCGUACACGGUGGAUGCCCUGGCAGUCAGAGGCGAUGAAGGACGUGCUAAUCUGCGAUAAGCGUCGGUAAGGUGAUAUGAACCGUUAUAACCGGCGAUUUCCGAAUGGGGAAACCCAGUGUGAUUCGUCACACUAUCAUUAACUGAAUCCAUAGGUUAAUGAGGCGAACCGGGGGAACUGAAACAUCUAAGUACCCCGAGGAAAAGAAAUCAACCGAGAUUCCCCCAGUAGCGGCGAGCGAACGGGGAGCAGCCCAGAGCCUGAAUCAGUGUGUGUGUUAGUGGAAGCGUCUGGAAAGGCGUGCGAUACAGGGUGACAGCCCCGUACACAAAAAUGCACAUAUUGUGAGCUCGAUGAGUAGGGCGGGACACGUGGUAUCCUGUCUGAAUAUGGGGGGACCAUCCUCCAAGGCUAAAUACUCCUGACUGACCGAUAGUGAACCAGUACCGUGAGGGAAAGGCGAAAAGAACCCCGGCGAGGGGAGUGAAAAAGAACCUGAAACCGUGUACGUACAAGCAGUGGGAGCACGCUUAGGCGUGUGACUGCGUACCUUUUGUAUAAUGGGUCAGCGACUUAUAUUCUGUAGCAAGGUUAACCGAAUAGGGGAGCCGAAGGGAAACCGAGUCUUAACUGGGCGUUAAGUUGCAGGGUAUAGACCCGAAACCCGGUGAUCUAGCCAUGGGCAGGUUGAAGGUUGGGUAACACUAACUGGAGGACCGAACCGACUAAUGUUGAAAAAUUAGCGGAUGACUUGUGGCUGGGGGUGAAAGGCCAAUCAAACCGGGAGAUAGCUGGUUCUCCCCGAAAGCUAUUUAGGUAGCGCCUCGUGAAUUCAUCUCCGGGGGUAGAGCACUGUUUCGGCAAGGGGGUCAUCCCGACUUACCAACCCGAUGCAAACUGCGAAUACCGGAGAAUGUUAUCACGGGAGACACACGGCGGGUGCUAACGUCCGUCGUGAAGAGGGAAACAACCCAAACCGCCAGCUAAGGUCCCAAAGUCAUGGUUAAGUGGGAAACGAUGUGGGAAGGCCCAGACAGCCAGGAUGUUGGCUUAGAAGCAGCCAUCAUUUAAAGAAAGCGUAAUAGCUCACUGGUCGAGUCGGCCUGCGCGGAAGAUGUAACGGGGCUAAACCAUGCACCGAAGCUGCGGCAGCGACGCUUAUGCGUUGUUGGGUAGGGGAGCGUUCUGUAAGCCUGCGAAGGUGUGCUGUGAGGCAUGCUGGAGGUAUCAGAAGUGCGAAUGCUGACAUAAGUAACGAUAAAGCGGGUGAAAAGCCCGCUCGCCGGAAGACCAAGGGUUCCUGUCCAACGUUAAUCGGGGCAGGGUGAGUCGACCCCUAAGGCGAGGCCGAAAGGCGUAGUCGAUGGGAAACAGGUUAAUAUUCCUGUACUUGGUGUUACUGCGAAGGGGGGACGGAGAAGGCUAUGUUGGCCGGGCGACGGUUGUCCCGGUUUAAGCGUGUAGGCUGGUUUUCCAGGCAAAUCCGGAAAACUAAGGCUGAGGCGUGAUGACGAGGCACUACGGUGCUGAAGCAACAAAUGCCCUGCUUCCAGGAAAAGCCUCUAAGCAUCAGGUAACAUCAAAUCGUACCCCAAACCGACACAGGUGGUCAGGUAGAGAAUACCAAGGCGCUUGAGAGAACUCGGGUGAAGGAACUAGGCAAAAUGGUGCCGUAACUUCGGGAGAAGGCACGCUGAUAUGUAGGUGAAGUCCCUCGCGGAUGGAGCUGAAAUCAGUCGAAGAUACCAGCUGGCUGCAACUGUUUAUUAAAAACACAGCACUGUGCAAACACGAAAGUGGACGUAUACGGUGUGACGCCUGCCCGGUGCCGGAAGGUUAAUUGAUGGGGUUAGCGCAAGCGAAGCUCUUGAUCGAAGCCCCGGUAAACGGCGGCCGUAACUAUAACGGUCCUAAGGUAGCGAAAUUCCUUGUCGGGUAAGUUCCGACCUGCACGAAUGGCGUAAUGAUGGCCAGGCUGUCUCCACCCGAGACUCAGUGAAAUUGAACUCGCUGUGAAGAUGCAGUGUACCCGCGGCAAGACGGAAAGACCCCGUGAACCUUUACUAUAGCUUGACACUGAACAUUGAGCCUUGAUGUGUAGGAUAGGUGGGAGGCUUUGAAGUGUGGACGCCAGUCUGCAUGGAGCCGACCUUGAAAUACCACCCUUUAAUGUUUGAUGUUCUAACGUGGACCCGUAAUCCGGGUUGCGGACAGUGUCUGGUGGGUAGUUUGACUGGGGCGGUCUCCUCCUAAAGAGUAACGGAGGAGCACGAAGGUUGGCUAAUCCUGGUCGGACAUCAGGAGGUUAGUGCAAUGGCAUAAGCCAGCUUGACUGCGAGCGUGACGGCGCGAGCAGGUGCGAAAGCAGGUCAUAGUGAUCCGGUGGUUCUGAAUGGAAGGGCCAUCGCUCAACGGAUAAAAGGUACUCCGGGGAUAACAGGCUGAUACCGCCCAAGAGUUCAUAUCGACGGCGGUGUUUGGCACCUCGAUGUCGGCUCAUCACAUCCUGGGGCUGAAGUAGGUCCCAAGGGUAUGGCUGUUCGCCAUUUAAAGUGGUACGCGAGCUGGGUUUAGAACGUCGUGAGACAGUUCGGUCCCUAUCUGCCGUGGGCGCUGGAGAACUGAGGGGGGCUGCUCCUAGUACGAGAGGACCGGAGUGGACGCAUCACUGGUGUUCGGGUUGUCAUGCCAAUGGCACUGCCCGGUAGCUAAAUGCGGAAGAGAUAAGUGCUGAAAGCAUCUAAGCACGAAACUUGCCCCGAGAUGAGUUCUCCCUGACUCCUUGAGAGUCCUGAAGGAACGUUGAAGACGACGACGUUGAUAGGCCGGGUGUGUAAGCGCAGCGAUGCGUUGAGCUAACCGGUACUAAUGAACCGUGAGGCUUAACCUU